GUUUUUUGAUGCCACUCACAACUCUGUUGUUUGCGCCCCAUAUCACAUGGGAGAAAAGAGGAUGGCAUGAACUUAUUACAUGCUAAAACAUCUCACAUCCUAUGAAGAAAAAUUGGUGCUAAUUAAAGUGGGGCGUGGGGCUAAUAUGUGGUGCAUGGAUAGGAGGAAUUUUAAUCUCAUGGGAUUCCUCUUUUAAGUGACUGAUUUAAACCAAUUUAAAUCCUAAUCAAU
rnacentral:lncRNA from 1 species